rnacentral:lncRNA from 1 species
AUAACGUAGUGGAUUACAUGUCAGAGAUCAGAUGACACCCGAAGGUGACCAGAUGACACCCGUCGGUGACCAGAUGACACCCGUCGGUGACCACUGUGGGAUGAUCAAUCGCCACAGGCUGAUGCCUCUCUCACCAGCUAGGUAACAGAAUACUAUGUGCACACAGGCUAACUAUUCUCCGUUAGCAUGGAGUACUGACAAGUCCCAUAUCAAGGCAUAACAGAUAUUCACAUAAUCAUCAAAGAAGCGUAUAUCAUAUCAAAUAGAAUUUACUUUACAGAUUGCGAGUGCAAAUUCAAGAAUAAAUGAGUACUCGGAAAAUAAAGCAACAUAUAUAAAUAUUCAAGAAAUUUACUAGUUGUACUCAUUGUAUAAUCAACAUACAUAUUUAUUUAUAUUAUAUGCAUAUUAAAGAUUAUUCCACUCACCCGGAAAAUAUAGAACUAAAAGGAAUGUCGGACGAAAUACCCGAAAAUCCUGUUAAGGAUCGUUAGGAGAACCUACAUAAAUAUAUGAAAUAUACUCAAAAACAAAUCAAACAAAAGAUCCCAAUGCAUAAAAUAAAACCGGGCUUAAUCUCCCAAGUUUAGGGACUAAAACAACAAUUUUCCAAAACAAGGACCAAAACGUAAUUUUACCAAAAUUUGAGGACCGAAUUGUAAAUAUAUAACCAUACUGAAAUUAUGACCAUAAUUAAUCCUCAAUUCUGUCCAGGAUAUAUCAUUAUGCUCCAAGGACCAUUCUGGAACUUUACCAAAUUUUUAGGGUCAAAUUAUACUUUUUGUCAAAUUGGAGGACCAAACUGAAAAUAUUAAUUAUACUGGAAUUUUGUCCUUAAAUCAUCCUCAGUUCUGUUCAGAACCUCAAUUUAUGCCCCAGGGACCAAUCUGUAAAAUUUCCAAAGUUCGGGGACUAAACUGCAAUUUCACAAAUUGAGGGACCAAACUGAAUUUUCGUCAUCUUCAACCUCAAACCCAGAAUUUCAACAGAUCACCUACUGUUAGUUCCAGAUUUAUACCUCAACUUCAUCAUUCAAUUCAACCAUAACUCAAAAUCAUCAUAUUUCUCUACAAUCUCUCCAAUUCAACUAAAUAAUCAAAUACCCACAUCAAUCAACCCCUUAAUUCAAACUAAUUCAUCAAUAAACUCAAAAUUCAAAACUCUAAAAUUAAUCAAAAACCGAAAUUUAAAGCUAAAGAAAACAUAUUAUACAUAUUCAAGCAUAAUUCUUACCCUUUUACUUGUUUUCUUCAACCUUUUCCUUUUUCCCUUAUUUUCCCCUCUUUUCUCUUCUUCUUCUUCUUCCUCUCUUCUCUCCUGCCGGUUCUCUCUCCAAAUUCAGAUCCUUCUUUUUUUUUUUUUUUUUUUUCUUCUUAUAUAUAUUUAUCAACUAUUGGUCAAUUACCACACUACCCUUCAAUCAUUUAUACCCUCUUUUAAGCCUCCAAGGGCUUUAUUGUAUUUUCUCAUUCCUUUUUAUUACAAAACAUCACAAUCUCCCCACCUUAUAAAAGUUUCGUCCUCGAAACUUAAUAGAAAAGAUUAAAUACUUACCGAGAUUAUCGAAACGAUGAGGAUAUGCCGACCUCCCUGUCCCCUGUUAGGACCUGUAUCAGACCGCUGAUGAAAAGAGAACUGAUUUUCCACCUUGGGCCUCUUGACCGAACCCACUGAUAAUUCAUCCUCUAACUCUCGUGCCUCAAUAGCACGGGCACGAUCCACUACGGCCGAGUACGUCUUAAACUCAUGAGCCCCAAUAGCUUUGAAUAGGUAGUUAUUAAGACCCCGAACAAACCUCUUGAUCUUCCUCUCCUGAGUUGGUACCAAAUACCCAGCAAACCUGGACAACCGCGUGAAUUCAACUUCAUACUCUGUCACAGUCAAGUCACCCUGAACCAACUUCUCAAACUCAUAUGAUCUAGCUUCCCUCACACUUUCAGGUAGAAAACGCUCCAAAAAUAUCUCAGAAAAUUCCUUCCACACCAUCGGUGGAGAACUAGCUGCCCUUUCACCUCUCUUGGACUCGUACCAGUUCAAAGCCACCUCGCCUUCUAGCCUAAAAGAUGCUAAAGUCACUGCACGAUGAUCUGUGCACCCCAUGGCCUCACACCUACGCCACACUGCAUCUAAAAACUGUUGUGGGUCCUCAGAGUUAUCUACACCCUUAAAGGUAGGAGGUGCCAACUUAAGGAACUCUGCCAAUGGCACUUUCACCCCAUGCACAGUAUGGGAAGUCGAAGAUGCACUCUUAUCCUUCUCCUUUUCUUUCUCAGUUAAAAGGUUAGCCAGGGUCUGCAUGGCCUGUCCAAUUUUAUCCAAAGCACUAUCAGUAUAAGACACCCUAUCAUGGGAUUCCUGCUCCUGGUUCUUACCAACAUCCAGACCACCAACAUCUAGACCAUAGUCCCCCUCAAAUUCAAUCUCAUCCUGAACUUCUACUUCCAUUGGUUGAGGCGAAGGGUUUCUAACUCUCUUUUUGCGCCUCUCCUUCCUAAGCUGAGCGAUAGGAAUGUCCUCUUGAUCAUCGGUAUUAAUUACAUGUUUAGCCCUCGGCAUAUUUCUAAAAAAAAAAUGCAUUUUUAUCACAAGGAAGAAGACAUGCUUGAUGAGAAUUCAAAAUUUCAAAAACAACAAACAAAACGAUACGGAUCCUAAUGCUCCACUUAUUACAAAUUUUGAAUAAUAAUAAAUAAAUAAAAUAGAUUACGAGAUUUUAAUAAAACCAUGCUCUGAUACCACCUUUGUCACGACCCGAAUCCCGGAUCCGUGACCGGCAACGUAGGAGCGGUGUCGAAAGGACACCUCACCUACGCUAAGCCUCAGAACAGACAUAUCAAAAGAACAAUUUGUUCAAAAAUACGCAGCGGCUCAUAAUAUUCAGAAAUAUUAUAUUAUUCAAAUACUGAUGAAACCGAAAGAUAGUUAUUAAAACAAAAAUAAUAAUUCAUAAUACUCAUUACAUUGUCAAAAUCCAAACGUAAUUAAUUAAACAAGGUAACAGUGGAGCGUCUAAGACAUCAAAUCAAAACUGAAAGGAAAGCCUCGCGAACAAGCAAGGCAUACCGACCAGAACUGAAGAAGCGGAAACACUCAACAAAGUCCCAGAAACUAAGAACCUGAAAUAAUAUUAAAAAAUGAGGGUGAGUUCAACCAACUCAGUGAGGGAAUAACAUUUAAUAUACAUUUCAGAUAUUAAUAAUUUGCAAGAUGAUUUAUCUUAAUAUACAUAUACAUAUACUUAUAAACAUAUUAUCAUAACGUAACAUAUUAUCAUAACGUAGUGGAUUACAUGUCAGAGAUCAGAUGACACCCGAAGGUGACCAGAUGACACCCGUCGGUGACCAGAUGACACCCGUCGGUGACCACUGUGGGAUGAUCAAUCGCCACAGGCUGAUGCCUCUCUCACCAGCUAGGUAACAGAAUACUAUGUGCACACAGGCUAACUAUUCUCCGUUAGCAUGGAGUACUGACAAGUCCCAUAUCAAGGCAUAACAGAUAUUCACAUAAUCAUCAAAGAAGCGUAUAUCAUAUCAAAUAGAAUUUACUUUAUCAGAUUGCGAGUGCAAAUUCAAGAAUAAAUGAGUACUCGGAAAAUAAAGCAACAUAUAUAAAUAUUCAAGAAAUUUACUAGUUGUACUCAUUGUAUAAUCAACAUACAUAUUUAUUUAUA